rnacentral:rRNA from 1 species
GCCAUGCAUGUCUCAGUAUAAGCUUCUAUACGGCGAAACUGCGAAUGGCUCAUUAAAACAGUUAUAGUUUAUUUGGUGGUCAGCAAUUACAUGGAUAACCGUGGUAAUUCUAGAGCUAAUACAUGCGUCCAAACCCGACUUCGUGGAAGGGUUGUGUUUAUUAGAUACAGAACCAACCCAGGCUCCGCCUGGCCUUGAGGUGAUUCAUAAUAACCGAACGAAUCGCAUGGCUAUGCCGGCGAUAGACCAUUCAAGUUUCUGACCUAUCAGCUAUCGUCGGUAGGGUAUUGGCCUACCGUGGCAAUGACGGGUAACGGAGAAUUAGGGUUCGAUUCCGGAGAGGGAGCCUGAGAAACGGCUACCACAUCUAAGGAAGGCAGCAGGCGCGCAAAUUACCCAAUCCUGACGCAGGGAGGUAGUGACAAGAAAUAACAAUACAGGGCAUACAUGUCUUGUAAUUGGAAUGAGUAAACUUUAAAUCACUUUACGAGUAUCAAUUGGAGGG